AACGAACGCUGGCGGCAGGCUUAACACAUGCAAGUCGAACGCGAAAUCACCUUCGGGUGGUGGAGAGUGGCAGACGGGUGAGUAACGCGUGGGAACCUACCUAGUGGUACGGAAUAACUCAGGGAAACUUGGGCUAAUACCGUAUGUGCCCGAAAGGGGAAAGAUUCAUCGCCACUAGACGGGCCCGCGUCGGAUUAGCUUGUUGGUGAGGUAACGGCGCACCAAGGCGACGAUCCGUAGCUGGUCUGAGAGGAUGAUCAGCCACACUGGGACUGAGACACGGCCCAGACUCCUACGGGAGGCAGCAGUGGGGAAUAUUGGACAAUGGGCGCAAGCCUGAUCCAGCCAUGCCGCGUGAGUGAUGAAGGCCCUAGGGUUGUAAAGCUCUUUCGGCGGGGACGAUAAUGACGGUACCCGCAGAAGAAGCCCCGGCUAACUUCGUGCCAGCCGCCGCGGUAA
rnacentral:rRNA from 1 species